rnacentral:misc_RNA from 1 species
GGCUCAGACGACCCUUAUCAUUUGUAAUGGUAAUCUUCUCAGAUUUACCGGUGCCCUUGUCUUCAGCCUUGACAUUUAGGAUACCAUUGGCAUCAACUUCAAAUGUAACCUCAAUUUGAGGGGUUCCCCUUGGGGCUGGAGGAAUGCCAGUCAGAUCGAAUUUCCCAAGCAGUCUGCAAUCCUUUGUGAGACUCCUUUCACCUUCAAAGACCUGAAUGGAAACAGUGGUCUGCUGAUCCUGGUAAGUAGUGAAAACUUGAGAUUUCUUGGUUGGGAUAAC